CAUUCAGUUAGAAGUUUACUAGAUUGAA
rnacentral:misc_RNA from 1 species